CCGAGCCAGAUCCAAGAGACGAUCUGUCUGGAAUGGAUGUGGCUAGAAAGGUCAUAAUUCUAGCUAGAGAAUCUGGUUUAAGACUGGAGCUUUCUGAUAUCCAAGUGGACAGCCUUGUGCCAGAACCAUUGAAAUCAAGUGCAUCAGCUGAGGAGUUCCUGCGGCGUCUACCAGAAUUUGAUCAGGAAGUCGCAAAGAAACGGCUUGAUGCGGAGGCUGCUGGUGAAGUUCUGAGGUAUGUUGGGG